UACGAAGGGGGCAAGCGUUACUCGGAAUUACUGGGCGUAAAGCGUGCGUAGGCGGUUUGUUAAGUCUGAUGUGAAAUCCCCGGGCUCAACCUGGGAAUGGCAUUGGAUACUGGCAGGCUAGAGUGCGGUAGAGGGUGGUGGAAUUCCCGGUGUAGCAGUGAAAUGCGUAGAGAUCGGGAGGAACAUCUGUGGCGAAGGCGGCCGCCUGGACCAGCACUGACACUGAGGCACGAAAGCGUGGGGAGCAAACAGG
rnacentral:rRNA from 1 species